rnacentral:rRNA from 1 species
GAUGAACGCUGGCGGCGUGCCUAAUACAUGCAAGUCGAGCGAACAGACGAGGAGCUUGCUCCUCUGACGUUAGCGGCGGACGGGUGAGUAACACGUGGAUAACCUACCUAUAAGACUGGGAUAACUUCGGGAAACCGGAGCUAAUACCGGAUAAUAUAUUGAACCGCAUGGUUCAAUAGUGAAAGACGGUUUUGCUGUCACUUAUAGAUGGAUCCGCGCCGCAUUAGCUAGUUGGUAAGGUAACGGCUUACCAAGGCAACGAGGCGUAGCCGACCUGAGAGGGUGAUCGGCCACACUGGAACUGAGACACGGUCCAGACUCCUACGGGAGGCAGCAGUAGGGAAUCUUCCGCAAUGGGCGAAAGCCUGACGGAGCAACGCCGCGUGAGUGAUGAAGGUCUUCGGAUCGUAAAACUCUGUUAUUAGGGAAGAACAAAUGUGUAAGUAACUAUGCACGUCUUGACGGUACCUAAUCAGAAAGCCACGGCUAACUACGU